GAGAGACCAACCUUAACAGUUAUCUUCAGUAAGAGCCACAGCUCCUCCCCCAGUUCAUAAGGAAGCUGGAAGCAGAUAUCUCUACAAAUAAGCAGGCAAAUAAUAAAUUAAGUUUCCAUAGUUUGACUCUUUACUUUGAUCCAGCCAAAAGUAAUUAGUUGGGUCUUCUGCCACGAGCUCUUCACAAUAAUUGCUGCUGACCUAUGAGAUAUUCAAGAUUCCUUAGGAAUAGAUUUGUAUCCUUUCUCUCCGUCUGCAAGAAGAGUUUUUGAUGGAUGCUGACACCUUCAGAUCAUUCAGGCCAUCCUGAGAAUCCACACAGCUGAUGGGCGGCGCCGGGCUUUUUCAACUUGUGGAGCCCAUGUAACCGUGGUCACCGUGUACUAUGUGCCCUGUGCCUUCAUCUACCUGAGGCCUGAAACCAACAGCCCCCUGGAUGGGGCAGCUGCCCUAGUCCCCACGGCCAUCACUCCUUUCCUCAACCCCCUUAUCUACACUCUGCGGAACCAAGAGGUGAAGCUGGCCCUGAAAAGAAUGCUCAGAAGCCCAAGAACUCCGAGUGAGGUUUGAAAGUGUCUUUCUCCCACUAGGGAAGCUGCCACAAUUAGAAUUUAUUAUAAUGUUUAGGCUUCGGUAACUUUUUUCUUUUCUUCUUGUUUUUUCUCUUUUAUAUAGCCAUACUGUAUGAUCAAACACAGUUUAAGGUAAAAUACUAACUUUCUAACAGUUCCUUAGUAUCCUCUCAAGAUAACUCUCAGCCACUGCAAGAGUAGAGAAUGAGACCAAAUUCUCACAAACUAAACCACAUUAAACAAUCCAGAAGAAAGAAUGCAAUAGUGUAUUUUCCAAUGUCUCAGUAAUAAAUUCUCCCACACCAAAACGUAGAGUUCAAUAUGAUAUUUCCCAAUAUUAUAUUUGAUAUUUAAUAUUGAGUGUCAAUAUUGAGUGUCAACUUGAUUGGAUUGAAGGAUACAAAGUAUUGAUCCUGGGUGUGCCUGUGAGGGUGUUGCCAAAAGAGAUUAACAUUUGAAGGCUGGGAAAGGCAGAUCCACCCUUAAUCUGGGCAGGCGCAACCUAAUCAGCUGCCGGCGAGGCUAGAAUAUAAGCAGGCAGAAAAAUGUGAAAAGAAAGACUGGCCUAGCCUCCCAGCCUACAUGUUUCUCCUGUGCUGGAACCAUCCUACCCUCAAACAUAAAACUCCAAGUUCUUCAGUUUUGGAACUUGGACUGGCUCUCCUUGCUCCUCAGCCUGCAGAUGGCCUAUUGUGGGACCUUGUGACCAUGUGAGUGAAUACUUAAUAAACUCCCCUUUAUAUAUAUAUAAAUAUAUAUAUAUUUUUUUCCCAUUAGUUCUGUCCGUCUAGAAAACCCUAACGCUGGGCGCGGUGGCUCACGCUUGUAAUCCCAGCACUUUGGGAUGCUGAGGCAAGCGGAUCACGAGGUCAGGAGAUCGAGACCACGGUGAAACCCCGUCUCUACUAAAAAUACAAAAAAAUUAGCCGGGUGUGGUGGCGGGCGCCUGUAGUCCCAGCUACUCAGAGAGGCUGAGGCAGGAGAAUGGCGUGAACCUGGGAGGCGGAGGUUGCAGUGAGCCGAGAUCGCACCACUGCACUCCAGCCUGGGCGACAGAGUGAGACUCCGUCUCAAAAAAAUAAAAAAAUAAAAAAAAAAAAAACAAAGAGACCCCUGACUAACACAGGGGUGAAAGAUAAAAGACUACAUAUUGGGUACAGUGUACACUGCUUGGGUUAUGGGUGCACCAAAAUCUCAGAAAUCACCACUAAAGAACUUAUCCAUGUAACCAAAAACCACCUGUACUCCAAAAACUAUUGAAAUAAAAUUUUCUUAAAAAGC
rnacentral:lncRNA from 1 species